UACGUAGGGUGCAAGCGUUACUCGGAAUUACUGGGCGUAAAGCGUGCGCAGGCGGUUUUGUAAGUCUGAUGUGAAAUCCCCGGGCUCAACCUGGGAAUUGCAUUGGAGACUGCAAGGCUAGAAUCUGGCAGAGGGGGGUAGAAUUCCACGUGUAGCAGUGAAAUGCGUAGAGAUGUGGAGGAACACCGAUGGCGAAGGCAGCCCCCUGGGUCAAGAUUGACGCUCAUGCGCGAAAGCGUGGGGAGCGAACAGG
rnacentral:rRNA from 1 species